AGCCUCCCAUCAUGUCCUCAAAAUGGGGCCCUGAUCACAUUUGUGAUAGCUGUAGUUUUCAUUGAAAGUUUAUAGCAUUAUAUACUGAACACUGCAUACAGCUAUUGAUAACUUGCGAGUGCAGGAGUAUUCAGGUACUCAUUGCAGCAAUAGUUCCAUGUUAGUUGCUUUUGUUCAUCUUUUUCCACAUUUGAAUACUAGUACUGUGCAAGCUUAGAUAUUUGGUAUUUAGUAUUUCCAACUAUUCUUUCUAAAAACUAUUUAUGUAUUGAAUUAUCUCAGAUGAAAUUGUGAUUGUUUAUUUCAUGACAUUUUAUGAAAAUACCGGUAUACUUAAAUUAUUUUAUUAUACUAUACUUUUGUUUCUUAACUGUAAGAUCUAAGUGAUACAUAAACAUAUUUUUAACAUGUCAGUUGCAAAAGAAAAAUAAGUCUGAACUAUGAUGGAAUAGUUUAUUUGAAAGUGUGUGUUUUUUUUGACUGAGGUUAUCGUAUUGAUUGUGUAUGUACCCGGUGCACAAUAACCAUCGCCUGGCAUCAGUGUACAUAUUUAUCCCUUGACGAAGGUGGCGGGAUAUUGUUUCGGCAUUGUCCGUUUUCCUGUUUGCUCAUCUGUUUGUCAUAAUUUUAUCAGAGGCCAUAAUUCAGUACUUGUUAGCCUGAUUUGGUUAAUGCUUUGUGUGACUGUACAUACUGAUAGUCAAAUCAUGCAUGCUUAAUUCCAUUGCAAUCCAUCUCCCCAUUAAUAGCCGAGUUAUAGCCCUUUUUGUAUUUAUAAAAAUAUAGGCAGUUUGUUUGUCCUGAACCAUGACUGGAUACUGGUUUUUACCGAGUUUGGUUGAAAAUUGGUAGGACUGUAUAUAGUUAUGGGCAAAUGACACAUGCCAAAUGCUGUCACAAUCCAACCAAUGAUAGUAGAGCCAUGGCUCUUUGUUAGUUUAAAAAUAUAGGCAGUUUGUCUGAGCUAUAACUCUGUACUGGUUUGCCAGAUUUGGUUGAAACUUGUAGUAUUGUGUAUGUUAAUGGGCAAAUGAAGCAUGCGAAAUGCUGUUGCUGUCGGCUCACUAAUAGCAGAGUUAUGGCUCUUUGUUUCUUUUUAAAAAUAUAUGCAAUUAGUCCAAGCCAUAACUCAGUCCUGGUUUGCUGGAUUUGGUUAAAACUUAGUAGGAUUGUGUAUGUUAAUGACAAAUGAUGUUUAUCAAAUAUCAUUUCAAUUCGUUCACUGAUUAUGGAGUUACAGCCCUGUGUUAGUUUAAAAACACUGUUUAUUUCUAUAAUACUGUUAUUUUUAUGAUUUUUUUAAUGAAUUUUUCACUGAGUUUGUAUGUGGGUGUCCUGAAAAGUUGGAUCUUCCAGUGUGGGGAAUCACCUGACCCAAAGUGGUACGGAACACGGAAAUCAACAUGGCGGAUUUUUGACUUUUUUACCGAUUUUCAAAGACAUGGCCAAACCUAAGAAGAAACCGGGUCUGACACUUGGGAAAAAGAAGUGGAUAAACAAGAAUGUCAGUAUUAAAGUAACUUUCCAAUUGCUGCAAUCCGUCAAGAAAUCACCAGCGAGAAAACAAACAAAAGGCUGCUUACGCCAUCUAAAUCCCCUCUGUACAACUCAUCUCCAGCAAAUUAAAAAUAAAGUGAAUUUGGUCACCUGUCGUUUCCAAAAACCAAUUUACAAUAAUUCCUGAUAAAGGUCUUCAAGAUCACUUUUUGGACAUGUAGAGGAAAAUAGUGAUACCAGAGGCGAUGUAGAACACUUCUUAAACACUGAAUUACUGUGUGAAGAAAUCACAUGUUCGAUACUGCAAGCAGAAAGAGACUUCCUGUGAAAAGAAAACAGGGAACUGUUAGUACAUCAAGGAACGCAGUUCAGAAAGGAGCUCUGUGUAUAAGGGUAUAAGGUGGGAGAAGGCUAGGACGAAUGAAAUAAAAUGCUAGUGAUGAAGAGGAUGGGACUGGACUGAGAAGUGCUUAUGAACGAGAAAAGAAAUAGUUACGAUAUCAGUACCGAAAAUUAAAGGAAGAUGAUAUAAAUACAACUGCAGUAAAGAAAACUUAUUUGAGUACUUAAUGUGAAAGGGAAUGUGAUAUAAAUCUACACUAAAUGAGAAGAAAUACGGGAAGUGAAAUAGAUACUGAGUGAAAAAAGAACCGAUGAUUUAAUAGUAAAUGGUAGGGAAAUUUUGAUAUAUUCAGUAAACAAUGUGAAAACAGUGUGAUUAAAAUCAUGGGGCUAAAAUUUAUGCAAAAGGACAUUAUGUGAUAUAAAUUGACAUACUAAAUGGGAAUAGAAAGACUCAAUAACAUUGAGAAAAAGAAAUUUUAGGAAGUUUUAAUUUAUUGUUGGAAGCUUGCUGUAUGGAUUCUUUAUAGAUAAUGAAAAUGAGCUUUGAUAGAUUUUUUGUCAAUUGAAAAAAAUGACAUUUGAUAAUGCUGUACGACAAUAUUUGAUUUUCAAUGUUAUAUCUAUAUUACACAUGACUAUUUUAAGCUUGCGCAUAUUGCUUUGUAUUGUUUUGUAUGUAAAUAUUGUGUAUGUAUAUCUUUGUAUGGAUGUAAAUAUUAUAUACUCUCUGAUAUUGGAGGAAGUAAAAGUUAAUAAUAAC